AGCGCGNCCNAUNAUGCAAGUCGAACGCGAAAGUCCCCUUCGGGGGACAAGUAGAGUGGCGCACGGGUGAGUAACACGUAGGUAAUCUACCUUCGGAUGGGGAAUAACAACCGGAAACGGUUGCUAAUACCGCAUAAUGCAGCGGCACCUAAUGGUGACAGUUGUUAAAGCGGGGGAUCGAAAGACCUCGCGUCUGAAGAGGAGCCUGCGGCGGAUUAGCUAGUUGGUAGGGUAACGGCCUACCAAGGCGACGAUCCGUAGCCGGCCUGAGAGGGCGGUCGGCCACACUGACACUGACAUACGGGUCAGACUCCUACGGGAGGCAGCAGUCGGGAAUUUUGGGCAAUGGGCGAAAGCCUGACCCAGCAACGCCGCGUGAAGGAUGAAAUCCCUCGGGAUGUAAACUUCGCAAGAACGGGAAGAAUAAGUAGGGGACAAUACCCCCUAUGAUGACGGUACCGUUUGUAAGCUCCGGCUAACUCCGUGCCAGCAGCCGCGGUAAUACGGGGGGAGCAAGCGUUGUUCGGAUUUACUGGGCGUAAAGGGCGCGUAGGCGGCCUCCGCAAGUCAGUCGUGAAAUCUCCGAGCUUAACUCGGAAAGGUCAACUGAUACUGCGGGGCUAGAGUGCGGAAGGGGCAACUGGAAUUCUUGGUGUAGCGGUGAAAUGCGUAGAUAUCAAGAGGAACACCUGCGGCGAAGGCGGGUUGCUGGGCCGACACUGACGCUGAGGCGCGAAAGCUAGGGGAGCGAACGGGAUUAGAUACCCCGGUAGUCCUAGCCUUAAACGAUGAAUGCUUGGUGUCUGGGGUUAUAUAGUCCCCGGGUGCCGUC
rnacentral:rRNA from 1 species